AAUCACCGAGACAGAGAAAAUACAUCAUUAAUUCUUCCCUACAUUUUUAUUAUUUCUUUUUCUUCCAUCAACUUUUGUUCCCCAACUCCUCCACACCAUUAUCAUCACUUUUCCCCACCACUUUCACUCAAGUGAUCCAACCCCUACUCCAGCCAACCCUACUUCUGCACCUUGUACUAGCACACUCAAGUGUGUACCAACAACUUCUCCUUUAACCUCACACUGCAGUCUCAAUUCACCACUCUCCUCAUUUUUACACUUAGAAGCUUUUGGAGAAGCAGGGACCUUCAUCCGGUGCUCUGCCACUUCAAGGUAAACUUUGGCUACAUUUUUUUCCACCUUAUUCCUUAGCAUCACCUGCACUUAU
rnacentral:lncRNA from 1 species